rnacentral:rRNA from 1 species
GACGAACGCUGGCGGCGUGCUUAACACAUGCAAGUCGAACGGAAAGGCCCUGCUUUUCUUGGGUACUCGAGUGGCGAACGGGUGAGUAACACGUGAGUGACCUGCCCUGGACUUUGGGAUAAGUUCGGGAAACUGGGGCUAAUACCGGAUAGGAGCUCCUGCUGCAUGGUGGGGGUGGGAGAGUUUCGGCGGUUGGGGAUGGACUCGCCUCUUAGCAGUUUGGUGGUGGGGUAGUGGCCUACAAAGGCGUUGAGGGGUAGCCGGCCUGAGGGGGUGACCGGACACAUUGGGACUGAGACAGGGCACAGACUCAUACGGGGGAGAGCAGUGGGAAAUAUUGCAAAAUGGGCGGACGUGAUGUGGAGAAGCGCCGCGUGCGGGAUGAGGCCUCGCGGGUUAUACUCCGCUCUCGACUGUGACGACGCGUUAGUGACGGUACUGGGUAAAGAAGCACCGGCUAACUACGUG